GACGGUCCGGCGCGGCCGGCGCCGGUGCGGGCGCCGCUGACGCCGGUGCAGGCGGCGCCGCCGGUUCCGCCGGAGGGUGUCGC
rnacentral:tRNA from 1 species